UGGACGAUGCCAGGAGGGACC
rnacentral:piRNA from 1 species